rnacentral:tRNA from 1 species
GCUCGGGUGGCGGAACAGGUAGACGCACAGGACUUAAAAUCCUGUGGGAGCAUAUCCCGUGUGGGUUCGAGUCCCACCCCGAGCA